rnacentral:lncRNA from 15 species
CUCCAACCGCUUCAAAACCAAACUGGAAAACCACCACCAAAGCACCUUUUACACCAUCAGUCCCAUCAGCCUCCACACCGACAACAACACAGAGUUUAAGCUCCAGUUCAGGAAGCUCCACACCUUCAUCAUCCUCCCCUGAAACCACCAACCAGCCUGAACAGCAACAGAGAACUGCAGGUCCAGGUACAUUUACAGCAUUCAACAAAACCUUGUUUGUGAAUAUGUAUGUACUGUAGGUAUCCAAAUAUAUGAAUGUUUAUGUUUGUCUGUGUGGAACUUAUAUUGAUUGUUAGUUAAAAAUAUACUGUUACGUUGAUCUGAAAUGUUAGUUGAUAUUAAUAUUAGUUUGAGAACACCGUGUGACUGGACCCCCGGGUCCUACAUGUACUUAGGACUCCCAGAUACACUGUAUUUUAUAAUGAACCUGUGUCAGUGUAAAACAACCUUGUUCUACUGCUAAAGCAACCACAGGUUUGCUGCUGUACGUGUGUCUGACUGUGGUUGCCAUGUUCAUCAUAACAUCAGCUGCUGUGCUGAUAUUCUUCAGGACGAGGGCCAGUAAACUCAAAGGUGAGACAACAGGAAACACACACAUAUCAAAGGAAACUGAACAUCGGGUAGCUAUGGGUAAACACUUGCUUUUCCCUUACAACAGCCUAUGGAAAUCCUUGAUUUAUGCAGUUUACAGAUGUUUCAACAGUGGAUCUAAUCUUCUGAACUGCAUGUUUUUCAGAACCUGCUCUGGAAACUGAGUAUGCUAGUGUCACAGAGGUGAGUUUGAGUACAUUAGGGACAUCUCGGUGUCAUUAGUGUUUGUGACAGCAGCUGAUAUUAAUAGAAACAGACCCCUGUUCUCUUCCUGCAGGCCAACAGAGUGUAUGAGGAGAUCGGAGAGCAGGACAGACAGAGCAGAUCUCCUCCUGCAGAAAUAUCUACAGUGUACACUUAACACUGCAGCCAGUUCUCAGAAGAAAACUUCCAGUAAAUCCACCUACUCUGAGGUGGAUUUCUCCAACGGUGCAGCUGCCUGGCUCCACAGCGCCCCCCGUGGUGAUCUCGUCGUCUACUCUGUGCCUCGGGUUGCAGCGAGCAGCCACGCCAAGACGCUUCCCAUCCUCUGUACUUGUCUGUUGGUUUGCAUCAGCUGUAGCUCCAACGCUGUCGAUGCCACAUUGACUUUCUCAGUGGUCAACAGUCACGGUUUCAUUCACACACACAAAUCUGUUUGUUCCUGUAACAACCUGUGAGAAGUUACGGCUCUCAGCUAGCUUCAAGUUGGAGCUCCUUUUACUAAUUCUACUUUAAGUUAAGCUUAUCCUAAAUUUAUAUAUAAGAUAUUAUAGAUAAAGUGUGACUACCAGCUGGCGUCUAAUUGUAAAUAAAUUCAGCCCGGGGAUGUGAAUGAACAUCCUCUGUAAUCUCUGUGGGAAAGUGAUGUGAAACUGACUGUUUCACAACCUCAACCAUGUGUUACCGAGGUGUCUUACACAGACUCUAAAAGCUACCUUGUGUGUCUGUAUGAGACGAAGACGGUUGUGACAAAGCAGCAUCAGUAGCCUAUUUGAUUCAACGAUUCAAGGUUAUUUUACUGUAAUUUACAACACAAGGCUGUAGAAUGAAAUUUAGAUAUGGUUGCCUUUAUACUACUGCCUCCUAGUGGGGGAAAAGUGCAUCUUUAAUGCUUAUUAAAUGAUGUUGACUUAUAACAGUUUACCCUCUUGUUAUGCUUUAUGAGCAAUAAAACUUUUGUCUUUUAACAAAAUAAAGGAAAAUCAGCCGGUGCAGUGUCUUUUUCAUAUCAAGUCUUUUAUCAGUGUCUUUGAUCAGAGAUGGGGACUCGAGUUUGCGACUCUGACUCGAGUCACACUUAAGUCGCACACACAGAGACUUCAGACUCGACUCGGACUCGUGUUUUGGGACUCUUGAACAAUCAUUAUGUUUUCUUUUUUGGCGUAUUAAUAUUGAGGAAACUGAAACGUGUGACGAGCUUAAUGUGAUUCCUUCCUUUUUUUUUCAUGGUAACCAUGGUAACCAUAUUACGCAUUGGGUGCACGCCUCGCGGCCUCAC